AACACGUUAGCGAGUGGCAGGCAUCCCGGCUGGGUCUCAUAAGCCCGGUUCCGCCUGGUUCGAAUCCAGGACUCGCUAC
rnacentral:tRNA from 1 species